CGGCUAACUACGUGCCAGCAGCCGCGGUAAUACGUAGGUGGCAAGCGUUGUCCGGAUUUAUUGGGCGUAAAGCGAGCGCAGGCGGUUUUUUAAGUCUGAUGUGAAAGCCUUCGGCUCAACCGAAGAAGUGCAUCGGAAACUGGGAAACUUGAGUGCAGAAGAGGACAGUGGAACUCCAUGUGUAGCGGUGAAAUGCGUAGAUAUAUGGAAGAACACCAGUGGCGAAGGCGGCUGUCUGGUCUGUAACUGACGCUGAGGCUCGAAAGUAUGGGUAGCAAACAGGAUUAGAUACCCUGGUAGUCCAUACCGUAAACGAUGAAUGCUAAGUGUUGGAGGGUUUCCGCCCUUCAGUGCUGCAGCUAACGCAUUAAGCAUUCCGCCUGGGGAGUACGGCCGCAAGGCUGAAACUCAAAGGAAUUGACGGGGGCCCGCACAAGCGGUGGAGCAUGUGGUUUAAUUCGAAGCUACGCGAAGAACCUUACCAGGUCUUGACAUACUAUGCAAAUCUAAGAGAUUAGACGUUCCCUUCGGGGACAUGGAUACAGGUGGUGCAUGGUUGUCGUCAGCUCGUGUCGUGAGAUGUUGGGUUAAGUCCCGCAACGAGCGCAACCCUUAUUAUCAGUUGCCAGCAUUAAGUUGGGCACUCUGGUGAGACUGCCGGUGACAAACCGGAGGAAGGUGGGGAUGACGUCAAAUCAUCAUGCCCCUUAUGACCUGGGCUACACACGUGCUACAAUGGAUGGUACAACGAGUUGCGAACUCGCGAGAGUAAGCUAAUCUCUUAAAGCCAUUCUCAGUUCGGAUUGUAGGCUGCAACUCGCCUACAUGAAGUCGGAAUCGCUAGUAAUCGCGGAUCAGCAUGCCGCGGUGAAUACGUUCCCGGGCCUUGUACACACCGCCCGUCACACCAUGAGAGUUUGUAACACCCAAAGUCGGUGGGGUAACCUUUUAGGAACCAGCCG
rnacentral:rRNA from 2 species